UAAAACAUCGCCUUUAGCUAGACAAGUAUUAAAGGUCUCGCCUGCCCAGUGAACCCCCCCCCUUUAAACGGCCGCGGUACUCUAACCGUGCAAAGGUAGCGUAAUCAUUUGCCCCCUAAAUAGGGGCUAGUAUGAACGGCUAAAUGAGGGCCUAACUGUCUCCUGCGACAAGCCAAUGAAACUGAUCUCUCAGUACAAAAGCUGAGAUAGACUCACAAGACGAGAAGACCCUGUGGAGCUUCUUAAACACAACACUAACCCCACCCAACCACCCAUAGUGCUAACUUUUAGUUGGGGCGACUACGGAGAUAACCCAAACCUCCAUGAAGCAGGACCUCCUCCUCCCAAGGCAAACACGCCUAAGAUAAUUAAACCUUUGACCCAGCAUUGCUGAACAACGGACCAAGUUACCCCAGGGAUAACAGCGCAAUCCUCCCCAAGAGUCCCUAUCGCCAGGAGGGUUUACGACCUCGAUGUUGGAUCAGGACACCCAGGCGGUGCAGCCGCUACCAAAGGUUCGUUUGUUCAACGAUUAAUGUCCUACGUGA
rnacentral:rRNA from 1 species